rnacentral:lncRNA from 1 species
CGUUGGCCAUUUCCCGAUAAAACUAAAGGUUGAUCCUUGGACCCAUAUCGGUUAGACCUGCUGACGAUGAAUGGCAGUCGGAUUCCUCCGAAGAUGCCGUAUUAGUGUCGAAAACCGGGACUGCAUAACAAGGAAUUUUUUCUACCAUCCGUUAAUGCUUGGCAAUUUGAUUACUCAUGCCAAAUUUUCACAUCUCAUACGACUUUGGUCAUAAAACUAGCUUGUAGGUUUAUGUCCUUCGUUCUGCUUUUCGCAAGGUCGUCCAGUUGGCAUUUUGAGGUACCACGGUUGAAUCCACAAUGCAAGAAGCAUUAAUGGUUGCUUACAAGGUGAAGCCCGAGUUCAGGGUUAGGUAGGGUCCCCGCACAGAUUGGGAAAGCUUCUGGAGCACUAUACCUUAGAAGGUUGGCGUUGUAGCCAAGUUAUACCGGCACAUGCUGGUCCAAACAAUUUUGACCUGUAACGUCCUCAAAAUAACCAUGGCAGUCUCUUUAGGCAGCGAAAUACCUUUCACAGGCGAUGCACUGGUACCCAGCGUGCGAAUCUCCAGUGGAAAUUUGCACAAGUGCAACGAAAGGGGUUUCCUGGCUAUGUGAUGAGCGAACCUGAUGGUCGCUCAUCAACGCUUGCUGCCACCUGACUUAUGGCUGGUUCUGCCUGCUUCCAUGAGCCCCCGCUGACCGGUGACCGGGUAGCCAGGGCAGGCCGAAUGCCAACUGCUCAGGAUGGCCCUACUUUCAAAUCGUGGCUCGAUGCGAAAGAAGGCAUAAAUAUAUUGAGCUUGAAGAUAAUGAUUUUCGGGAAGGUUCCUUU